rnacentral:rRNA from 1 species
GAUGAACGCUGGCGGCGUGCCUAAUACAUGCAAGUCGAGCGAACGGACGAGAAGCUUGCUUCUCUGAUGUUAGCGGCGGACGGGUGAGUAACACGUGGAUAACCUACCUAUAAGACUGGGAUAACUUCGGGAAACCGGAGCUAAUACCGGAUAAUAUUAUGAACCGCAUGGUUCAAAAGUGAAAGACGGUCUUGCUGUCACUUAUAGAUGGAUCCGCGCUGCAUUAGCUAGUUGGUAAGGUAACGGCUUACCAAGGCAACGAUGCAUAGCCGACCUGAGAGGGUGAUCGGCCACACUGGAACUGAGACACGGUCCAGACUCCUAAGGGAGGCAGCAGUAGGGAAUCUUCCGCAAUGGGCGAAAGCCUGACGGAGCAACGCCGCGUGAGUGAUGAAGGUCUUCGGAUCGUAAAACUCUGUUAUUAGGGAAGAACAUAUGUGUAAGUAACUGUGCACAUCUUGACGGUACCUAAUCAGAAAGCCACGGCUAACUACGUG